AUUGAACGCUGGCGGCAGGCCUAACACAUGCAAGUCGAACGAGUGGCGGACGGGUGAGUAAUGUCUGGGAAACUGCCCGAUGGAGGGGGAUAACUACUGGAAACGGUAGCUAAUACCGCGUACCAUCGGAUGUGCCCAGAUGGGAUUAGCUUGUAGGUGAGGUAACGGCUCACCUAGGCGACGAUCCCUAGCUGGUCUGAGAGGAUGACCAGCCACACUGGAAUGGUGACACGGUCCAGACUCAUGCGGGAGGAAACAGUGGGGAAUAUGGAAGAAUGGUCUCAAGCCUGAUGCAUCAAUGCGGCGUGAAUUAAGAAGGCCUUAGGGUUGUAAAGUACUGUCAGCGGGGAGGCGUUGCCCGCAGAAGACCCCCCGGCUGACUCCGUGCCAUCCGCCGCGGUAAUAC
rnacentral:rRNA from 1 species